rnacentral:rRNA from 1 species
UACGUAGGGUGCAAGCGUUGUCCGGAAUUAUUGGGCGUAAAGAGCUCGUAGGCGGUCUGUCGCGUCGGCUGUGAAAUCCCGAGGCUCAACCUCGGGUCUGCAGUCGAUACGGGCAAACUGGAGUGUUGCAGGGGAGACUGGAAUUCCUGGUGUAGCGGUGAAAUGCGUAGAUAUUGGGAGGAACACCAGUGGCGAAGGCGGCUCACUGGACCGGUUCUGACGCUGAGGCGCGAAAGCGUGGGGAGCAAACGGG